AUUUUUUUUAGGAUUUAUCCUCGAGUAGUAACAAUCUUCGCUCGGCCCAAUUCGAGAAAUCAACACUUCUUGAUAUAGAAUACUGUUCAAAUUCAUAUUUUAAGCUUCCGUACAAUUUCCCUCAAAAUUCAAUAAAGAAGAAGAGUAACUCAAAGAAAUAACCUUUCUCUUUUUGGCAAAGAUUGCAUAAUAAACUAGAAAUGAUGAGACAGGCUAUCAUUUAAGGCAAGAAAAGACUUUAUAAAAAAGCUACAGAGGCAAUCAAACCAAUGCUCAGGACCAAUAUUAGAAUGACGAACCAUCCUGUAAACAGAGAAAAGCAGCACGAUAGAAGGAUAGAAAUAGUUUUGUGUACCUUUUCCAUGGCGUAUCAGUCCGAAACAUGCACCAAUUGCAAUCUCAGUAACGUGACGGCAUCGAAUCUGAGCCACUUCUUGAAUUUGAAGAACCAAAAAGACUGAACCCUUUUAACAGUAAACUGGUCUUUUCACCUACUGAAGAUGAUCAUAUCUGUUUAUGUUCUGUUAAAUUAAGUGGGCACUUUCUCUGCUUUAAAUUCUUGCUAGUAAAGAGCAGUAAAGAGAGAGAGAAAGUGGAAAGCCAAACCAAGAAAGAAGAAAUGGAGAUGUACUAUAAAUGAUAAUAUUGACUGGAAAAUAAUGGUAGUAUAACAGAUACGUGACAAUAAAGGAAAGCUUUCAAAUGAAGCAAAACUCUGUCUUUGCCUUCCCAUUUCCCUCCCUGUCUCUCUCUGGGUCGGCCGUUCAACAUUUUUAACAGUCAUCUCCAAGACUCAACGUUCAACAUCACCCACAGAGUCUUCCUUGGAUGGAUUUUAAAUAGGUAAAAUGGUUGUCGUUUAGUAGAUGAGAGAAGGGCUUUUAUGAGUUUUUAAUUUCAUGGGAAAGAGCGUUUGUUGGGAUUUUGUAGAGACGUAAUUGUCUUGCGGGUUACAACAUUGUCAGUCUUCUUAUGUCCAGGAUUAAAACCUGCACAGGC
rnacentral:misc_RNA from 1 species